GCAGCUGAGCGGUAGAGCAUCCGCUUGGCGGGCGGAAGGACGUGGGUUCAACCCGCCGGCAGCU
rnacentral:tRNA from 1 species